CUUGUCAGAGCGUAGGGGUCACUGCAGCCCAAGAGAGGGUGGAUGAUGGUGAGCGGGUCUUUCAGUAUUCCAUAAGCGGCAUCGGAUGACAAGUUUAAGUCAAAUUCCUCGUGCUUGAUUUCUUCUAAAGAACUGUCUGGGCUACUGCCCUUGUCUCCAGGACAGCCUUCCUUGGCAUCCCCUUCCUCUUCCAGUUCUUCAGGCUUUCCUAUCAUCUGUGUUAAAGUUAACCGCCGCUUCUUCUUCUUGAGAGUCCUUUCUUUGGGGGCAGCCCUCUGUUUGCUGUGGGGGUCUUUAGGCCUUUUGUGAGAUUUCGCCAUUCUCUUUGCACUGUCCUCAUUUCUAAAUUGCACCCACACGUCCUCAGCUUUGCUGUCCCUCUCAAAGGUCUUCCUGUAGAGCCUCAACAAGAAGGCCUCUGCUCCGAUCGUGAUAUACUCUCUCAGCUGGGAACAUGUUCGCUCAUCACUUGCACAAAUCAGUACCUGACCUAAAAUUACCAAACAGCGCAAUGUUACCAUUACCUCACGUGUCCCCCACCGCCACCACACCCCCGUUCUCUGUCCGCCUGCUCGCCUCCUCCCCUGACAAAGAAGACACAUCUUACCCCUUGGCGCAUUUACAAUUUGUUUAAAAAGGGUCUCAGAUGCUUAUCAAAUGCUUUCCCUCUCUGACAGGAUUAGUGAAAUCUUUUGAGUAAAGUUGAAGCCAGAAACAUUUAGUCUUAGGAAAGCCUAGCCGUGGUAUAAUGGAGGCUUUACAGAAGCUCUUUUUAAUUAAUAAUUUUCCAGAGGAUUUUAUAUGCCAAAAUAAAUUCCAAAUGGAUUACUGAGUCAAAUGUUAAAUAUUAAAUCAUUAAAAAAAAAAGGCAACUACUCUCCAUCUCUGUGGAUGGAGAUGAUUUUCUAGGCUUAAAAACAGUGGAAGAUAUCUCAGACAAGACUGAUAUCUAUAAUCUGAGAGGGACUCUAUAUAAGAAAAAAACUGUGCAUUAAGAAAGCUAAAGACAGAAAAACGACUUUACAAAACAACUAUCAUAAAUGAUAGUAUCUUUAAUAUAUAAAAAGCCAAUACAAACCGAGGACAUACCCUAAUUUGGCCAAGGAAAAGAAAGACAAUUCACCAAAGAGGAAAAAGCAUUAAGAAAACAUUGAGCUUGGGGCGCCUGGGUGGCUCAGUCAGUUACAAGUCCGACUUCAGCUCAGGUCAUGAUCUUAUAGCUCAUGAGUUCGAGCCCCACAUUGGGCUCUGUGCUGACAGUUCAGAGCCUGGAGCCUGCUUCCGAUUCUGUGUCUCCCUCUCUCUGACCCUUUCAUGCUUGUGCUCUGUUUCUCUCUCUCAAAAAUAAAUAAACAUUAAAAAACAUUUUUGACAUUAAAAAAAGAAAACAUUGAGCUUAGCAAACACCAAAUUUCAAAUGAACAUUUUCUCCAAAUUAAUAAAAUUGUUACACAUAUGUAUGUAUAUACACACACGAAUAUAUGAUCUCCAGUCACUGCUAAGUGAAAAAGAGAUGAGCUCUUACAUUGCUAGAAGAAAUGAAAACUCAUAAAAAUUUCAUGUAAGUCAAAUGUGGUAAUAUGUCUCAAGAACGUUAUCAUUUGACUUGCUAAUUAUAUAUCCAGAAAUUACAUUGCACUGUGACCUUAACAAUGUGAAACAGAAAAUACAGAAAAGAAAACCUGGAGGAAAUAUACCAAUGUGGCUUCUAGACAUAAUUUUUUUCCUUUCUCUUUUUUCUUGGUACUUUUCAAUUUUCCUAAGGGAGCAGGCAUGACUUGGAGUCUUAAAUCAAAGUACCAUACGUUCUCAGAUAAUAUCACCAGCGUAUUUACUCAUAUAAGAAUUAUGUGCUUGCCUUUACUGAUUCAUAGGAGUUCAAAGUCUCAAUAGACUAAAGAAAAAUCUAGUUUUUUUAAACAUCUGGUUUUGGGGCGCCUGGGGGGCUCAGUCGGUUAAGUGUCUGACUUUGGCUCAGUCAUGAUCUCACGGUUUGUGGGCUCGAACCCCACGUCAGGCUCUGUGCUGACAGCUCGGAGCCUGGAGCCUGUUUCAGAUUCUGUGUCUCCCCCUCUCUCUGUCCCUCCCCUGCUUGUGCUCUGCCUCUGUCUCUCUCUCCAAAAUAAAUAAACAUUAAAAAAAAAAGUAAAUAUCUGGUUUUACUUAAAAAAAAAUUUUAGCGGGUUUGGUCUACGAUGCUAAUCUACUAGUAUACUCAUGCUUGAAGAGAGGGGCCCUAAAAUCUGGAAUUUUUUUUUUCAGGGCCACGUCAGUGUUGAUCCAUAGAACAGUUGAGAUGUCUUUGGAAAGACACUUGCUGAGAAUAUAAAACAAGCUCAUUAGCUUUCUCCUCGGGGGAUUCUAGAUUGAAAUCGUGGUGAAUGUGUAUGUGGAGAUUAGCUGCAUCUUUAAAUAGAAGUCCUGAGAAGUCAACCAGCCCAGCAAGACAGCCUGCUUUCUACAAGUAUGCAAGGAUUCAACCAGGAGAAAAUCACAUCAAACGAACAGAAAGGAGGCUGCCACUAGGAUUUCCGUGUUCAUCUGGCACUUAUUCUUUUACGUCUGAUAAGCAAAAUAACAGUAAGUUACUUUUUUGUUUUUAAUUUUUUUUUUAACGUUUAUUUUUGAGACAGAGAGAGACAGAGCAUGAAUGGGGGAGGGGCAGAGAGAGAGGGAGACACAGAACCGGAAGCAGGCUCCAGGCUCUGGGCCAUCAGCCCAGAGCCCGACGCGGGGCUCCAACUCACGGACUGCGAGAUCAUGACCUGAGCUGAAGUCGGACGCUUAACCGACUGAGCCACCCAGGCGCCCCAAUAACAGUAAGUUACUUUUUUUUUUUUUUUUUCAACGUUUAUUUAUUUUUGGGACGGAGAGAGACAGAGCAUGAGCGGGGGAGGGGCAGAGAGAGAGGGAGACACAGAAUCGGAAACAGGCUCCAGGCUCCGAGCCAUCAGCCCAGAGCCUGACGCGGGGCUCGAACUCACGGACCGCGAGAUCGUGACCUGGCUGAAGUCGGACGCUUAACCGACUGCGCCACCCAGGCGCCCCAACAGUAAGUUACUUUUAAAGGACUAAUAACGAAGACUCAUUUGCUCCAUUUUGAAAGCAAACGUCCUCUUCUCUUUUUUUCCUACCUGGACCCCCAAGGGCUUCACUCUCCUUAUUUUCCGCCUCAAUUUCUUUCAGUACUUCGGUCAGAGCUUCCCACUUCGGGUUGCUUUCUAGCACCAAUUCCUUUUUUGUUUCUGUAUGGGAAUAAAAGGAUAACCUCAUUCUCCAGGGUAGUAUUCACCUGUAAAGUGUUCCACAGGCUUUCAAAACAACACAACACAGACAACACAAGUGUCAUUCCAAAAGCUUGUUCUUGUGAGCUUCCUUCCUGAUGCCAGAUAGAAACUACUUUCUUGAAAAAGGUCUCUUUAAGGUCUAAAUAGAAGAUAUUUGAAACCAACAUUAACAGAGGUUUCAUAGUGGGGCGCCUGAGUGGCUCAGUCGGUUGAGCGUCCGCUCUUGGUUUCGGCUCAGGUCAUGAUCUCACGGAUCAUGGGUUUGAGCUCACAUCAGACUCUGUGCUUACAGCAUGGAGGCUGCCUGGGAUUCUCUCUCUCCCUCUUUCUCUGCCUCUCUCUGGCUUGCACACAUGCUCUCUCUUAAAAUAAAUAAAUGAACUUUAAUUUAAAGGAAAGAGAGGUUUCAUAGUGCCUUGAGAGAAAGUUACAUGUACGUCAUGAAUUUCAGAUGAUUCUGUAUUAGUUGUCAACCGUGAUACUAUAUAUAAGCUGCUACAUAAAACGAAAGAAUUAGUACAGAGGAAGAGUAUUUAUUAUUUCUAAUCCGCAUGACUUUCACAUUCCUGAAAAUGGAAUACAAGGAGACCACAAUCAAACAUUUCUGUAAGUACCUAAACACAUCACUAAUGUAUUUAAGUUUUGAACUAGACCUUUGAACUAGGCAGAAAGUCAGCAUCAAUACUAUCCCAUGCUUUAAAAAACCAAUGAUAUUUGUCAUACCCACUAGAUAAGUAUUGGAAUAAACCUAUUCUCGCCUCAUUCUGGUAUAUUUAUUUUUGUACAGCUAAAAGGAAUGUUAAAUAUUGUUAAGACUGUAAGUGCCAAAAGUAGUUAUUAUUCUGAAGUAAAAAAAAAAAUAUAUCAAUCAAUAGUUCUUAUAUAGCAGUAAAAACACUCUUGACUGAUAUUUGGCACUUGUUAUCCGGAAUCCUCUAACAACGGAUUCUAGGACUUGCCACGCUGGAUACUUUCAACUUAUGUUACACAUAACACGCCUUUAACAUACAGGCAUGCAUUCUUCACACAGCUGAAGGAGACUGAGGAUUACACGUUGACUUGGUAAGAAUUUUCACACCAAAUACUUAAAUAAGAGACACAGUUAAAGAUGAAGCCUACAGGAUACCUUGCACUUGUUCAAUUUCCGUUUUUUCAGACACUUUGCCUUUUUUGUUCAUUUUGGCAUCUGGAAGAUGAUAAACCCUUGCUCGAGCAUUAACAAACAUCGAGGUGCUGGAGUCAAGAAAGAGCCAACCUAAUAUGAAAAGUUAAAAAAAAAAAAAAAAGGCCUUCAAUUUGGGAUGAAUUUUAAAGACUCUCUGAUGGUCACAUGCCCUAUCUAUACAACUGCCUGCCAUCGUGUUCUCUGAACCGUACCUUCUCCCUUACUGAGGCCUCACUGUUUGAUUAGGCCAGUGGGCUUUCAAAGUGUGGCCUACUGACCUCUGGGGGCCACCAAAAUGUUUUCAGGGAGUCUGGACCUCAAAACUAUUCUCAGAUGAGUAAUAAUUCCUUAUUUGGUUUUUUCCCCACUGUGUUGACAUUUCUGGUAAUGGUGCAAAAGCAUUGGGGGGUAACACUGCUGGGCGCCUGAGCGUCAUCAAGGCGGUGGAACCAAAGAGUACUAGUGGUCAAUGUGUUCUUCACUGCUGUGCAUUCGUAGCUUAUUACUUAAUGUCCCUGAUGAAGCAAUAAAAACUAUUAAUUGUAAGGGCGCUUGGGGGGCUCAGUUGGUGGAGUGUCUGACUCCUUCUUUCUGUUCAGGUCAUGAUCUUGAGGUUGUGGGACUGAGCCCUGCAUCAGGCUCUGUGCUGAACAUGGAGCCCGCUUAAUAUCCUUUCUCCCUCCCUCCCUCUCUCUCUGCCUCUGCCCCUUUUUCCUGCCUGCUUGCUCUCUCUCAAAUAAAACAAAAUAAUUUUUAAAAGUUAAAAACAUUACUAAUGGUAGUAAAUCUUGGCCUCAGAGGACAACGGACCCCAUUUUGAAAAUCAACGGUCUAGUCAAACAGUGACAGAGGUCACAUUAGUGGGGCAGAUGUGGCUGGUAGAAAAACAAGACGGUAGUCAACUGUUUAAGUAUGUUUCUCUACAAAUCUCUUCAGUCUUCAGCACUCUAGCUGAUGAAACCCUAAACUCCCUUGCUGUUUCUUAGGAGAAAAUGAAUUUGAAGUUCUUAACAACUAAACUUCCAGAACACAACCUAUUUCUAAGUUGGGGACUGCCUGUAAUAUACAGAGUCUUUUCUAGAAAUAAAAUUGCCCGGAAUGGAUAUGAAUAUUUAUUAUUAUACAGAACAGAAGUUCAGUAGGCGGAAACAUUAGCUAUCAAUAAAACCUACAUCCUUAUGCUAUGAACAUAAAACGUAAUUUGAAAGCUUAGUAUACCGUGUAGUUGAAUAUAGCACUCCCCACAUCUGAUUCCCCAACAAAAUCUGACACUUUAUUCAAAUCAGCUCCCAUAAUAAUAUUAGCAUUUUUAUCUCCCACCUGAAUUCUGACCAAAAGCCUUCUCUGUCGCUCUCAGAGAUUCCAGAAGAUUAAGGAAUGUGAUACAAUCAUACUGAGAGAGAUACUGCAGCAAAGUUCGUAAUAUCUUCAAAUCCUGAACCAAGGACUUAGUCUUGGCUCCAAGCUGGUGCCACAAGGGAUCCAGAUAAUGGCGGAUCGUCUAAAACAAGAAUACAGUUUAGUAUGGCUAAAA
rnacentral:lncRNA from 1 species